rnacentral:rRNA from 1 species
AUUGAACGCUGGCGGCAGGCCUAACACAUGCAAGUCGAGCGGAGGAAGGGAGCUUGCUCCUGGAUUCAGCGGCGGACGGGGGAGUAAGGCCUAGGAAUCUGCCUGGUAGUGGGGGAUAACGUCCGGAAACGGGCGCUAAUACCGCAUACGUCCUGAGGGAGAAAGUGGGGGAUCUUCGGACCUCACGCUAUCAGAUGAGCCUAGGUCGGAUUAGCUAGUUGGUGGGGUAAAGGCCUACCAAGGCGACGAUCCGUAACUGGUCUGAGAGGAUGAUCAGUCACACUGGAACUGGGACACGGUCAGACUCCUACGGGAGGCAGCAGUGGGGAAUAUUGGACAAUGGGCGAAAGCCUGAUCCAGCCAUGCCGCGUGUGUGAAGAAGGUCUUCGGAUUGUAAAGCACUUUAAGUUGGGAGGAAGGGCAGUAAGUUAAUACCUUGCUGUUUUGACGUUACCAACAGAAUAAGCACCGGCUAACUUCGUG